CUGCCACCCUGCAGGCCGGGAAGUUGGCAGGUGUGGCGGGUGGGGUGAGGGGUCCGAGUCCCAUGGCCUAGGACGUUCAUUUCUCCGAGGCUCGGUCUCUCCUCUGGUGGGACCAUGUCUCGAAGAGCCCCUGGCUUGGCUUCUGGAGCUGGCGGCCAGGUAGGAGCCCCCAGGAAAGCUCCAUCGGCUGCUGCUGAGCCGAGCUCUCCUGAACCCGGCCUGCGCUGCCCCCAGCGCACCUGGACCACAGACCCAAGUGAUGUGAUAUGAAGAGGGAAUGAAACGCUGACAGGGAGCGCUGGCUCACGUCUGUGAUCCCACCACUUUGGGGGGCCGAGGUGGGUGGGUCGCUUGAGCCCAGGAGUUUGUCACCAGCCUGAGCAGCAUAAUGAGACCCCAUCUCUGUACAAAAUAUUACAAAAUUAGCCGGGCGUAGUGGUACACGCCUGUGGUCCCAGGUACUUGGGACGCUGAGGCGGGAGGAUUGCUUGAGCCCAGGAGACAGAGGCUGCACUGAGCCGAGAUGGCACCACAGCACUCCAGCCGGGGAGACAGAGCGAGACCCUGUUCCGAAAGAGAGAGAGAGCGAGAGGGAGAGCGAGAGGGAGAGAGAAAGAGAGAGACAGAGGAAGAAGAAAGAAAGAAAGAGAGAGAGAGAGAGAGAGAAAGAAAGAAAGAAAGAAAGAAAGAAAGAAAGAAAGAAAGAAAGAAAGAAAGAGAAAGAAAGAAAGAAAGAAAGAAAGAAAGAGAAAGAAAGAAAGAGAGAGAACAGAUUGCCACUUGCUACUUUUAACAUACUAUUACCAAGGAAUGUAUUGGCAGACCCGGACCAUUUCUGACCCUUGACUCCUCCUGUCCAGGGCUGGGAGUGGAGAGUCAGAAAUGGGGACCUGGUCAGGGCAAGGGGGCAGAUGCUCGGCUCACGUCGUACCUGGUAAUUUAGAAAUGCAGCAAGUCUAGUCAUGUAGAUCUCUGGCUUUCUCUCUCGUUGCUUAUUCUUUUAUUAUUAUUAAAUGAAUGUUAAUGUGGAAACGCCGUGUGCACGUGGGCAGAGCCAACCGUUCAUGAGCAGUGUGCUUGUCGCCCCCUGCCGGCCGGCUGCUGCCCUGACCUGAAUUAUCCGCAUCUCCGUCAUGGUCCCCCAGAGCCACCAGGAAGAUCAAGGAGCCAGGGCCACCCUCACGUUGCCUAGGCAACAGCAUCCGUGAUCAGACUGUAAGGCAACUGGGACCCAUGCGUGCUCCCCGGGGGAGGCUGCAGGUUCACGUCGGUGUCCGGGUAUCUUACAGAAUGUUCUUAAUCUUCACGUGCUUCUUCUGAGAUCAGUGAUAAAGAAGACACGGAUACAGCAAGAAGGAAGGAGGCCCUGUGCACGACACUAAGAUGAGUGACGCCACAGCACGGACCUUUGCUCAAGAUCCGUCAGCAGGAAAUACCCCCCAAGUGCCGAGAGUGCUGGCAUGCAGCAGAGAAGGCUGUAAGUGACUGUGAGGUUUCCUUCAUUAUACUCAUCUGCAUUUUCCAAAUUUUGAAAAUGAGUAUAUAUUAAUUACACACUAAAAAACAUCAUUUACAUCUGUAAUCCCAGCACUUUGGGAGGCCAAGGUGGGCGGGCGGAUCACUUGAGGUCAGGAGUUCGAGACCAGCCUGGCCAACAUGGUAAAACCUUGUCUUUACUGAAAAUACAAAAAAAUAGCCAGGCGUGGUGGUGGGCGCCUGUAGUCCCAGCUACUCAGGAGGCUGAGGCAUGAGAAUUGCUUGAACCAGGGAGGUGGAGGUUGCAGUGAGCCGAGAUCACACCACUGCACUCCAGCCUGGUGAUAGGGUGAGACUUCAUCUCAAAACAACAAUAACAACAACAAUAACAGACUUCAUUUACCUGGGUGUGAUGCUUCACGCCUGUAAUCCCAGUGCUUUGGGAGGCCGAGGCAGACAGAUCACUUGAGGUCAGGAAUUCAAGACCAGUCUGGCCAACAUGGUGAAACCCUGUCUCUACUAAAAAAACAAAAAUUAGUUGAGCGUGGUGGUGCAGAUCUGUAAUCCCAGCUACUUGGAAGGCUGAGGCAGGAGGAUUGCUUGAACCCAGGAGGCAGAGGUUGCAGUGAGCCAAGAUCAUGCUGCUGGCACUCCAGCCGGGGCUACAGAGCAAGACUCCGUCUCAGAAAAACCUCCCAAAAACCCACCAUUUAAAAACGAAGCAAUGCUGCCUUUUAAGGAAUAUGGUAGACACAAAUAACAUCAGAAAGGCAUCCGAAAGCUAAUAAGGAAUUACCAAGUCAGACCUUAAUGGAAAGUAGCAACAAAAACAGGCCACUGGGCUCUGAGACAGCUUUUAGUUUCACGCAUGAGCCGAUCUUGCCAUACUUACCUUUGGUUUUGACAGCCUCCAAGGGCAAGAAAAACAUAAUCAAAUCCAAGGGUGUCCAAGGUGGGAUCUAAGAGAGAACUCCCCAGAUUAAGCCAAGAUUUCAAGAGUUCUGCCCCAAAAGGGUAAGAUUGAAGCAGGCCUCACCCUACCCCCAUGACCUAAGGAACCACAGAAAUCAGCUCAAUGCUAUGGGAGACGAUCUCACAGCCUGGCCAAUUUUUAUAUUUUUAGUAGUGAUGGGGUUUUGCCAUGUUGGCCAGGCUGGUCUUGAACUCCUGACCUCAGGUGAUCUACUCACUUCAGACUUCCAAAGUGCUGGGAUUACAGGUGGGAGCCACUGUCCCUGGCUGUAGGAUUCCAUUUUGUAAAACCCUAGAAAAAUGGAAACUAAUCAAGAGUUUCUUUUUAUUUUAUUUAUUUAUUUAUUUAUUUAUUUAUUUAUUUGAGCCUGAGUCUCGCUCUGUCACCCAGGUGAUCUCGGUGCGAUCUCAGCUCACUGCAACUUCCAUCUCGCGGGUUCAAGUGAUUCUCCUGCCUCAGCCUCCCGAGUAGCUGGGAUUACAGGUGUGUGCCACCACGCCCAGCUAAUUUUUGUGUUUGUAGUAGAGACGGGUUUCACCAUAUUGGCAAGGCUUGUCUUGAACUCCUGACCUCAAAUGAUCUGCCCACCUUGGCCUCCCAAGGUGCUAGGAUUACAGGUGUGAGCCAUCAUGCCCAGCCACAUUUCUUUUUUUUUUUUUUUUUUUUUUUUUUGAGACGGAGUCUCACUCUGUUGCCCAGGUUGGAGUGCAGUGGCACAGUCUUGGCUCACUACAACCUCUGCCUCCCAGGUUCAAGCAGUUCUCCUGCCUCAGCCUCCCGAGUAGCUGGGAUUACAGGCAUAUGUCACCACGUCCAGCUAACUUUUGUAUUUUUAGUAGAGAUGGGGUUUCACCAUGUUGGCCAGGCUGGUCUUGAACUCCUGAUCUCAAAUGAUCCACCCACCUUGACCUCCCAAAGUGUUGGAAUUACAGGCAUGAGCCACCGCGCCUGGCCACAUUUCUCUUUUUAAUAAAACCCCCAACCUUCUCUUUGUUCUUUGGACAUAUUGAAGUUCACCCCAGCCUGUGGAUAUGCCUCAAAAUAUAAUUCUAUGAUUCCCAUACAAGGUGUUUUGUUUAGAGAUCCAUCUCUAUAUUUUUAUUUGACCUUGAUAGUAUUUUUUUUUUUUUUGAGAUGGAAUCUCACUCUGUCGCCCAGGCUGGGGUGCAGUGGCGCGAUCUCAGCUCACUGCAAGCUCUGCCUCCCGGGUUCACGCCAUUCUCCUGCCUCAGCCUCUCCAGCAGCUGGGACUACAGGCACAUGCCGCCACGCCUGGCUAAUUUUUCUAUUUUUAGUAGAGACGGGGUUUCACUGUGUUAGCGAGGAUGGUCUCGAU
rnacentral:lncRNA from 1 species